rnacentral:rRNA from 1 species
AUACGUAGGGGGCGAGCGUUGUCCGGAAUGACUGGGCGUAAAGGGCGUGUAGGCGGCCGAUUAAGUCUGGAGUGAAAGUCCCGCUUUCAAGGUGGGAAUUGCUUUGGAGACUGGUUGGCUUGAGUGCGGAAGAGGUAAGUGGAAUUCCCAGUGUAGCGGUGAAAUGCGUAGAGAUUGGGAGGAACACCAGUGGCGAAGGCGACUUACGGGGCCGUAACUGACGCUGAGGCGCGAAAGCGUGGGGAGCGAACAGGAUUAGAUACCCUGGUAGUCCUAGCCGUAAACGAUGACAGCUAGGUGUGGGGGCAGGCCUUGCCCCCGUGCCGCAGCCAACGCAUUAAGCUGUCCGCCUGGGGAGUACGGCCGCAAGGCUAAAACUCAAAGGAAUUGGCGGGG